AACCUACCCUGCUGACCGAGCCUCUACAACCUACCCUGCUGGCCAAGCCUCUACAACCUACCCUGCUGGCCAAGCCUCUACAACCUACCCUGCUGACCGAGCCUCUACAACCUACCCUGCUAGCUCUGCCACAGAUCACCCAGCUUCUCUCAUCUUCUCCAAUGUGGAUCUACCUACAGAUUCUAGAGUCUCUUCAAGUCCUCCAACAGCCAGUGGAACCCAGGAUGAUUCCAUCUAUUCUACAGCCCAGCUACCCAAAGAUACUGUAGAAUCUACAAGAUACCCUGCUGUACACCUCUCUAAAGACACUCCAGAAGAUGCCCUCUACUCUACAGCCCAGCUACCCAAAGAUACUGUAGAAUCUACAAGAUACCCUGCUGUACACCUCUCUAAAGACACUCCAGAAGAUGUCCUCUACUCUACAGCCCAGCUACCCA